UGUAGCAGUAUAGUUGUAGCAGUAUAGUUGUAGCUGGUUGUAGCAGUAUGGUUGUAGCAGUAUAGUUGUAGCAGUAUAGUUGUAGCAGUAUUGUUGUAGCUGGUUGUAGCAGUAUAGUUGUAGCAGUAUGGUUGUAGCAGUAUAGUUGUAGCAGUAUAGUUGUAGCAGUGUGGUUGUAGCAGUAUAGUUGUAGCAGUAUGGUUGUAGCAGUAUAGUUGUAGCAGUAUUGUUGUAGCUGUAUAGUUGUAGCAGUGUGGUUGUAGCUGGUUGUAGCAGUAUAGUUGUAGCAGUAUUGUUGUAGCAGUGUGGUUCAGUAUAGUUGUAGCAGUAUUGUUGUAGCUGGUUGUAG
ensembl:lncRNA